GCUGGGCAUGGUGGUGCAUGCCUAUAAUCCCAGCAAUUUGGGAGGCUGAGGCAGGAAGAUUACAAAUUCGAGGUCAGCCUCAGCAGUUUAGCAAGGUCCUAAGCAACUUACUAAGGCCCUGUCUCAA
rnacentral:sRNA from 1 species